UAUGACUAUAUCAGGUUGGAACACCGGUUCUUGUACGAUCCGAGAAGUUAAGCAGCGUCGAGCCUGGUCGGGACUGAGAUGGGCGACCGCUUGGGAAGACCGGGUACUGAAA